rnacentral:snRNA from 1 species
AGCUUUGCGCAGUGGCAGUAACAUAGCUGAUGAGGUUCAUCUGAGGCGUAUUUAUUGCUAGUUGAAAAACUAUACCCCAAUACCCCGCCGCUGUGGACGUGUAAACCGUUCGCUGUGGCAAUUUCUGAUGGGUUCCCCGGAAC